CAGUCGCCGCGGUAAUACGGAGGGAGCUAGCGUUGUUCGGAAUUACUGGGCGUAAAGCGCGCGUAGGCGGAUAUUUAAGUCAGGGGUGAAAUCCCGCAGCUCAACUGCGGAACUGCCUUUGAUACUGGGUAGCUUGAGUAUGGAAGAGGUUAGUGGAAUUGCGAGUGUAGAGGUGAAAUUCGUAGAUAUUCGCAGGAACACCAGUGGCGAAGGCGGCUAACUGGUCCAUAACUGACGCUGAGGUGCGAAAGCGUGGGGAGCAAACAGGAUUAGAGACCCGAGUAGUCCCUGUCUCUUAUAC
rnacentral:rRNA from 1 species